rnacentral:lncRNA from 1 species
GCAAACUGACAACUUAAUUAGUUGCAGAGAAUCAUUGAUAUAGAUCAGAUCAAGUGGCCUUGAAACCAGCCAUAAUCCCAACAGCAUGAAACCCACGAUUAACAACCAUAGGACCAAACUGCAAACUAAUAGAAGUUCUGGACUACGAAAGUAAAACUCUAAAACAGACUUAACAAACUAAUUCAAACGACGUAGUUUUGUUCUCCCUUAACACACAAGCAAACUAAGUCAAACGACAUAGUUUCAUUCUUUC